AGCCGUGCGGUGAGCACAUAGCGAACUAUUCUUUCGCCUUUUACUAAAGAAUACCGUGUGCUCGCGGCUAUUAGCGGCAUACGCCUAUUUUUGGAGGGUUUUCCCAUAUAGUGGAAAA
rfam:Macleaya cordata isolate BLH2017 scaffold8165, whole genome shotgun sequence.